CCUACGGGAGGCAGCAGUGGGGAAUAUUGGACAAUGGGGGGAACCCUGAUCCAGCCAUGCCGCGUGUGUGAAGAAGGCCCUCGGGUUGUAAAGCACUUUCAGUGAGGAAGAACGCCUGGUGGUUAAUACCCAUCAGGAAAGACAUCACUCACAGAAGAAGCACCGGCUAACUCCGUGCCAGCAGCCGCGGUAAUACGGAGGGUGCGAGCGUUAAUCGGAAUUACUGGGCGUAAAGCGCGCGUAGGUGGCUUGAUAAGCCGGUUGUGAAAGCCCCGGGCUCAACCUGGGAACGGCAUCCGGAACUGUCAAGCUAGAGUGCAGGAGAGGAAGGUAGAAUUCCCGGUGUAGCGGUGAAUGCGUAGAGAUCGGGAGGAAUACCAGUGGCGAAGGCGGCCUUCUGGACUGACACUGACACUGAGGUGCGAAAGCGUGGGUAGCAAACAGGAUUAGAUACCCCUGUAGUC
rnacentral:rRNA from 1 species